GCAGGUUUAUGUCACUAGAGGUGGGCAGGAAUUGACAGGUCAAAGUGCUUAUAGGCAAUACCGGAAGGAGAGUGGAGCAGGGGGGUUUAGGAAGUCAAAAAAGUGAGCUAUUACCAAGAAGAGAAAAGGCUGAAGCACAAUACAAGGAUUUUAUCCAUUUAUUACCUGUAACUUGUAGAAUGUACUUAGAGGACUUGUAUUGUAAGUGGUUCUAUUCAUGAAAUCCCUACUUCACUGUAGAAAAUCUUUAAAUGUAAUACUGCCUUUUACUGGAAAAUUGCUUCACAAUGUAAAUAUGUUUGAGAU